GCACAAGCGGUGGAGCAUGUGGUUUAAUUCGACGCAACGCGAAGAACCUUACCUGGGCUUGACAUGGCUCUGACCGCCCUGGAAACAGGGUUUCCCUUCGGGGCAGAGUCACAGGUGGUGCAUGGCUGUCGUCAGCUCGUGUCGUGAGAUGUUGGGUUAAGUCCCGCAACGAGCGCAACCCCCGUCGCAUGUUGCCAGCAUUUAGUUGGGGACUCAUGCGAGACUGCCGGUGACAAACCGGAGGAAGGUGGGGAUGACGUCAAGUCAUCAUGCCCCUUAUGUCCAGGGCUACACACGUGCUACAUUGGCGCGUACAGAGGGCUGCGAUACCGCGAGGUGGAGCGAAUCCCUUAAAGCGCGUCUCGGUUCGGAUUGCAGGCUGAAACUCGCCUGCAUGAAGGCGGAGUUGCUAGUAAUCGCAGAUCAGCAAUGCUGCGGUGAAUACGUUCCCGGGC
rnacentral:rRNA from 1 species